rnacentral:rRNA from 1 species
AGAUUGAACGCUGGCGGCAUGCCUUACACAUGCAAGUCGAACGGCAGGCACGGGAGCAAUCCUGGUGGCGAGUGGGCGAACGGGUGAGUAAUAUAUCGGAACGUGCCCCAGGUCGUGGGGGAUAACGCAGCGAAAGCUGUGCUAAUACCGCAUACGUAUCGUAUGGAUGAAAGCGGGGGAUCGCAAGACCUCGCGCGAUUGGAGCGGCCGAUAUCAGAUUAGCUAGUUGGUGGGGUAAAAGCCUACCAAGGCGACGAUCGUGUAGCUGGUCUGAGAGGACGACCAG